GACAGAGGGUGCAAACGUUGUUCGGAAUUACUGGGCGUAAAGCGCGUGUAGGCGGCUAUGUAAGUCGGAUGUGAAAGCCCUCGGCUCAACCGAGGAAGUGCGCCCGAAACUGCAGAGCUUGAGUACCGGAGAGGAUGGCGGAAUUCCCCAAGUAGAGGUGAAAUUCGUAGAUAUGGGGAGGAACACCGGUGGAGAAGGCGGCCAUCUGGACGGAUACUGACGCUGAGACGCGAAAGCGUGGGGAGCAAACAGG
rnacentral:rRNA from 1 species